UACGGGGGGUGCAAGCGUUGCUCGGAAUUAUUGGGCGUAAAGGGCAAGUAGGUGGUCUCAUUUGUCAGGGGUGAAAGCCUUGGGCUUAACUCAAGAAGUGCCCCUGAAACGGUGAGACUUGAGUCCUGGAGAGGCGAGUGGAAUUCCCGGUGUAGCGGUGAAAUGCGCAGAUAUCGGGAAGAACACCUAUGGCGAAGGCAGCUCUCUGGGACGGUACUGACGCUGAGACGCGAAAGCGUGGGGAGCAAACAGG
rnacentral:rRNA from 1 species